UUGAUCCUGGCUCACAUCGAACGUCUGGCGGCGUGGCUAAAACAUGCAAGUCGCACGGAAAGGCUUUUUCGGAUCCUUCGGGUGAAGAAAAAGUACUCGAGUGGCGGAAGGGCGAGUAAUGUAUGGAUAACGUACCCCAGGCACCGGGAUAGCAGCGGGAAACUGUUGGUAAUACCGGAUGAUGUUCCAAACCCCUUGGGGCUUGGAAUCAAAGGAUGGCCUCUACUUGUAAGCUAUCGGCGUGGGAGCGGUCCAUAUCCUAUCAGCUAGUUGGCGGGGUAACGGCCCACCAAGGCAACGACGGGUAGCGGGACUGAGAGGUUGACCCGCCGCAUUGGGACUGAGACACUGCCCAGACUCCUACAGGAGGCUGCAGUAACGAAUAUUGGACAAUGAGCGAAAGCUUGAUCCAGCGACGCCGCGUGCAGGAAGAAGUCCUUCGGGAUGUAAACUGCUGUCAGGGACCACCAAGCAAGGAAGGUUAAUACCCUUCUGCGUUGAGGACUCCCAGAGGAAGCCACGGCUAACUUCGUGCCAGCAGCCGCGGUAAUACGAAGGUGGCGAGCGUUGUUUGGAAUCACUGGGCUUAAAGCGUGUGUAGGCGGACUGUCAAGCGUUUUGUGAAAGCCCUCGGCUUAACCGGGGAAUUGCUUGACGAACUGAUAGUCUUGAGGCAGGUAGGGGCAACUGGAACUCUUGGUGGAGCGGUGGAAUGCGUAGAUAUCAAGAGGAACGCCAGAGGCGAAGGCGAGUUGCUGGGCCUGUCCUGACGCUGAGACACGAAAGCCAGGGGAGCGAACGGGAUUAGAUACCCCGGUAGUCCUGGCCCUAAACGAUGUCCAACUAGAUCGGAGGCACUCUGACGUGUNUCUGGUCGAAAUGAAAACGGUACGUGGACCGNCUGGGGAGUACGGUCGCAAGGCUAAAAUUCCAAGGAAUUGACGGGGGCUCACAC
rnacentral:rRNA from 1 species